CCGGACAGAGAGACAGAGGUGUGAGCACUGCCCAGGAGGCCGCUUUCGUUUCUGUGGGGACAUCGGGACCACUCAUCAGACACCCCCAGGAAGGCCACGUUCUGAGGUUCCAUGCGAUGGGCGGCGCCCGACUCCCCGGGGCAGUUCCGUGGGUUGUGAUGAUUGUUCCAGCAGCGUCUUCACCGCCCUCCGCGCAGCUCGCCCCGCCCUCCCCAGCGCCUCUCCUGGCCCCGGGCAGCCGCUUGUCUGCACAGCUCGGCGGAAGCUGAUUCCCAGGACGUUGCAAAGAAAAUGCAGACAGAACCUGUGCCCUCUGCUCAGUUCACACGGUCCCAGGCAGCCUCGGCUCCGACCCCGCUGGGCGUGGGGUGACCGGCUGUGCGGGUUCCGAGGGCACGGUGUGUGCUUGCCCGGGCCG